GCACACUAAUGAGAAGCUGGCACUCAAGAUCAAAGACCAGAGCAGGAAGAUCAUCCACCUGACAGCUGAGAGAGAUCACCUUCAGGAGAAUGUGAAGGGUUUACAGGGGGAAAUCAGGAGGCUGAAAGCAGCUGGAUAAAGAGAGAAUGGAAGCAGAGCGACUGAAGUGAAGAAAGAGGAAGAAGAAAGCACUUCCUGACCACCUGCAGCGCAAGUCUGUGCCAGUCAGUGCCUGUGUCCGGAUCGACGUCAAUGGCUAUAGAACGGUUUUCAGCAAACCAACUGUCUCUUGGAUCCCUUCUUAAUCACUGACACAAUGAGUUCUACAAAAACAUGAUUAUCAAAUGAUGGCUGAUAAUUGACCUUACGACAGAUAAAUGACUGACGGCCCAAAUAGCCAAUCAAAUCAAUUCUCUGACUUUUGUCUGUCAAACUGACUGAAUUGUAGAUUGCAUGAACAACUAAGCUUCUGAAUGAUCGUCUAUGUUUGCUCAAAGGUAAGGAAUAGUAGAAUACAGAUUUUUCAAGGUUAAAGGCAGGUGCACAGACCCCAAGUAGUUCAUGCAUGUGAAUUUUGAUCUUUCUGUUGUUAAUGCCAUGCUCUACUGUCUGAGCUUCAG